rnacentral:rRNA from 1 species
UACGGGGGGAGCAAGCGUUGUUCGGAUUUACUGGGCGUAAAGGGCGCGUAGGCGGCCUCUGCAAGUCGACUGUGAAAUCUCCGGGCUUAACCCGGAACGGUCAGCCGAUACUGCAGGGCUAGAGUGCAGAAGGGGCAACCGGAAUUCUCGGUGUAGCGGUGAAAUGCGUAGAUAUCGAGAGGAACACCUGCGGCGAAGGCGGCUACCUGGCCCAUUCUUGACGCUGAGGCGCGAAAGCUAGGGGAGCGAACGGG